rnacentral:rRNA from 1 species
GACGAACGCUGGCGGCGUGCUUAACACAUGCAAGUCGAGCGGAAAGGCCCUUCGGGGUACUCGAGCGGCGAACGGGUGAGUAACACGUGAGUAAUCUGCCCUUGGCUUUGGGAUAACUACCGGAAACGGUGGCUAAUACCGGAUACGACAACCGUCUGCAUGGGCUGGUUGUGGAAAGUUUUUUCGGCCAGGGAUGUGCUCGCGGCCUAUCAGCUUGUUGGUGGGGUAAUGGCCUACCAAGGCUUCGACGGGUAGCCGGCCUGAGAGGGUGACCGGCCAGACUGGGACUGAGACACGGCGCAUACUCCUACGAGAGGCAGCGGUGGGGAAUAUUGGACAAUGGGCGGAAGCCUGAGCCAGCAACGCCGCGUGAGGGAUGACGGCCUUCGGGUUGUAAACCUCUUUCAGUACCGACGAAGCGCCGAUGAUGGUGGUGACGGUAGUUACAGAAGAAGCACCGGCCAACUACGUG